GUGAUCGUCGUAGUGAUGCCGCCGUCUUAAUGGUCGUUAUCCCAUCGUUGUCGCAGCUGUCGUUGUCGCAUAUACUGCUAAAGUUUGCACAGAAUCGGCGCAAAUUUCCACCAAGUUGGCGGCGCUGAGUUCAGUAAUGAGGCGGGGGGCUAAGUGCCGUCAAAGCAAAUGAGUUUUUUGCAACCGGAGAAUCAGCGGAGUUAAACAAAAAUAGACUCGAGCAAGUUGGCAUGGAAUCAUGUGCUCAUUGUAGAGCAAACGGAACACACGGGGCGACGAAAAGCACCUGUCAACGUAUUUCUGCCGCCUCGUGUAUUAUUCCGUUUGCUCUACACUGCAGACGACCCACUGAAGGGUCCAGACGUUUCUUUUUUUUUUUUUCGGCAAAUACAUAUUGCUACCUCAAGGUCCGAACCCGCGGAGGCCACUGUGUUCCGAUUUUUUUAAUUUUUAUUUUUUUACAGUCGCUGCACCCACACCUUAAAUAUGACAAGCCUGCGCUCUCCGAGCCAUGACGUCACGCCCGAAGGUGGAGAGAACGGCGACAACGGCGACGACCACCAGGGCGAUGUACAACACGAUGAACGGAGUGCCAAUGAAGGACGAUGCUGCGUAAAAAAAAGGCGGAGGUGCAAGUGAUAUCGCAUCCUCUUUCAGCGUUCAUGUCGUGGCGGCACCGUCCU